AGCGAGAGAACGUUGCCGCAGGCAACGGCCCGAAGGGCGAGGCGCUUUAGCGCCGAGUAAUCCUUCCCCCACCACUG
rnacentral:sRNA from 1 species